rnacentral:lncRNA from 1 species
CCCCCUCUUUCCAUAGUAUUUUCUUCUUUAUAAUGAUAUUAUGGAUUAUGCUUUUAUUGGUUUGCUAAGUUACUGAAUUUGACCCAAGUUUUUUACGCCUUACACAAUCAAAAUUUGUCGAGACUUUAGUGUUUUCUGAUGAAAACAAAAGAAUAGGUUGUUCGACAACCGUUCCGCCAAUCAAACUACAGUUUGAUUAAUUUGAACCUCUUCAUUAAAAGGCUUGAUCAAUCUUAUUUUAUUUGUUACAUAAAAUCAACGAGACUAAAUUCCAUGCCAUCAUCACAGAAUAAUUUUUAAAUAAACUGGGAACUGGGUUCUAUAAAAUAAUCUUAGGUUGGGAUAUAGUAUCUGUUUUAUCUGCAAAAACACCAAUGAGUAUUUCACUCUGCGGGGAAUGGUAAAAAUUGUCAGCUCUGAUUUUUCUUCCCGGUUCAGCACUUCAAAUCAUGUUAUCUAUGUUCAGUGUUUUAGCCAUUUUAUUUGGGAGAUAAUAUAUCUCAAAAAAAUAUUUCUCAUGUCACUAAAAAUAUAUAUAAUUAUAAAUGAGAUUUUCAAAACAAACAGUAAAAAAAAAAACACCAAUUAUCAAGUCCUAUGUUUUCCCUUCCGUCAAAGUGUAGAAUCACUUGACGAGAGGGUUAUUGAUGAGUUGUCAUUGUUUGAAUUACAAAGAGAUUUGAGGUAGUUGUAUAUUGGAUUAAGUAGAUAU